rnacentral:rRNA from 1 species
AAUAUUGGACAAGGGGGGGAACCCUGAUCCAUCCAUGCCGCGUGUGUGAAGAAGGUCUUCGGAUUGUAAAGCACUUUAAGUUGGGAGGAAGAGUUGUAGGCUAAUACCUUGCAAUUUUGACGUUACCAACAGAAGAAGCACCGGCUAACUUCGUACCAGCAGCCGCGGUAAUACGAAGGGUGCAAGCGUUAAUCGGAAUUACUGGGCGUAAAGCGGGCGUAGGUGGUUCGUUAAGUUGGAAGGGCAAGCCCCGGGCUUAACCUGGGAAUUGGUUUAAAAACUGACGAGCUAGAGUACGGUAGAGGGUAGUGGAAUUUCCUGUGUAGCGGUGAAAUGCGUAGAUAUAGGAAGGAACAUCCGUGGCGAAGGCGACUACCUGGAAUGAUACUGACACUGAGGUGCGAAAGCGUGGGGAGCAAACAGG